UGCCACAGCUAUCAUGAUCAUGGAAAACGGUAUAAAGGUUCCUAAAAAAAUUAAAAAUAGAGUUACCAUAUGAUCCCAUACAAAAUGGGAUUGAGAUACCAAACAAUCCAACUUCUGAGUAUAUACUAGAAGAAAAUGAGAUCAGUAUUUUAAAGAGAUAUGUGCACCCUCAGGUUCAUUGCAGUAUCAUUCAAAAUAGCGAAGAUGUGGAAACUGCCUUAGUGUCCAUUGGUGCGUGGAUGGAUAAGAAAAUGUGGUACAGAUAAAUUUGAUGGAAUAUUAUUCAGCCUUAAAAAAACAAGGAAAUCCUGUAUUUGUGACAGCUUGGAUUAUGGACAUACCAAGAAGACAGCCAUUAGGAAGCCAGGAAAAGCACCCUCAGCAGAAUCCAACCAUGCCAGCUCCCUGAUCUUGGACUUCCAGCCUCCAGAACUGUGAGAAAAUAAAUUCUUGUUUUUUAAGCCA